CCUGCCUCUUCCCUCCAAGUGCUGGGAUUAAAGGAGUGUGCCACAUCACACACACAGCCCAGAAACGUGCUGCCAAGUGACCGGGGACUGAACCCUCCGCAGCUUUCAGUCAAGUUAAACAAACCCUUCAAGCUGUCACACUGGUUAGAAUGCCAUCCAGUGAGUGCCUGGGCCCAGGAGAGGUAUUACAUUUAACCAGCUUCAACCAGCACUAAUCAACCUGGGCUUGGGAGGGUACCAAGAUGCCGGCUGGAAGAUCUGCACCAGUUUGGGUGGGUCUCAUGGAGCAGCUCUCGCUAAGAACACCCUAGCAGUUGAUGGCUUUAACCCUUCCUUCCCUCUGGUCCCAGAGCUGCGCUCAGCUUCUCAGUGUCUUUUCUCUGUCUAGUCUCCCUGUAGGAGCAUCCCCUGGAGUUUGCUUCCUUUUGUUUUUAGGCCACUCGGCCCUUGCUUGGAAAAGACCCCUGGGGCAGGGCGGGGUGGGAUGGGGGUGGUCACCCCUAGUAGUUUUCAUUUCUAAAAGAAAGACCACCAAAGGAAUUCAAGGAGGGAUGUGUUGGAUCUCAGCCUUCCAACUCCUGAGAAGCUGGACAUCCGGCCGGCCGGCCAGCAGCUCCCAGGAGGUGAGAAGACAUUAAGCCCUUAUCAGGAUUUUUGGUUGGCGCCUGUGACGGAGACCCACGACUUCCUCGCCCUCUUCAUCCCACAUUGCAAGAAGGAGUGGGGCAGCUUCUGUGAGGAUUCAAACAGAGUUUUGAAAACUCGUAAUUAAAGGAAAACACUUAGCCUGAUGUCCAGGGGGCUGACUCCUGGGGUAACAGCAGUCUCUGUGGAUGGGGCACGGUACUGUUGGGGAGUGCCAAGCCAUCCAUGUGGAAAUAAAAACAGAAACAUAAAACCGGG